rnacentral:rRNA from 1 species
CAUGCAAGUCGAACGGUAACAGGUUAAGCUGACGAGUGGCGAACGGGUGAGUAAUAUAUCGGAACGUGCCCAGUCGUGGGGGAUAACUGCUCGAAAGAGCAGCUAAUACCGCAUACGACCUGAGGGUGAAAGCGGGGGAUCGCAAGACCUCGCGCGAUUGGAGCGGCCGAUAUCAGAUUAGGUAGUUGGUGGGGUAAAGGCCCACCAAGCCAACGAUCUGUAGCUGGUCUGAGAGGACGACCAGCCACACUGGGACUGAGACACGGCCCAGACUCCUACGGGAGGCAGCAGUGGGGAAUUUUGGACAAUGGGCGCAAGCCUGAUCCAGCCAUGCCGCGUGCGGGAAGAAGGCCUUCGGGUUGUAAACCGCUUUUGUCAGGGAAGAAAAGGUUCUGGUUAAUACCUGGGACUCAUGACGGUACCUGAAGAAUAAGCACCGGCUAACUACGUGCCAGCAGCCGCGGUAAUACGUAGGGUGCAAGCGUUAAUCGGAAUUACUGGGCGUAAAGCGUGCGCAGGCGGUUAUGCAAGACAGAGGUGAAAUCCCCGGGCUCAACCUGGGAACUGCCUUUGUGACUGCAUGGCUAGAGUACGGU